rnacentral:lncRNA from 1 species
UUCAAGUCUUCUAAUUAUAGGUUCACCUUAGCCAUUCUAUCUACUUUAAUCUCAAUAUUUCAUAUAGUGAGUCUGUCUUUUCUUAAAUCUCUUACCUCCUCUCACCUUCUUUUGGUCACUCUUAAUGAUGCAUUUUCUAUCCUUGAGCAUCUCUGACAGGUGAUCCUUUGCAGCUCAUCAAUACUCCUUAAAAGCCUGUUGAAAGAGAGCACAGUCAGCUGGGAUUCAGCCCUGUUUGGAUUUCCCCCGUACUGCUUGUUGGUGGAAAAGGGUUUUCAGGAGAGCAAUCUGGUGUGCCUGGGUAACAUAGCAAUAAGAAAAGCAAACAACUGGUUCACUUUCUGUCCCAGACAUUUGGAGAGAAAUUAUCUCGAUACAUCAGAGCCUGCCUAGAACCCACCCAGACGUCACUGGUA